rnacentral:misc_RNA from 1 species
CUUUAACCCACACCCUUGUUUCUGUCGUCUCGUCUUCUUGAUUGGUAACCUUUUCCUCUUUUUCACCUUCAUUUCCGCUAAAUAUUCUCUGGACAAAAGACUCCACAUCAAUUUUCAUAGUUCCCUCCUUACCCUCCUUCUCCCAAAACUCAUAACUUGCCGGCGGAAUGUACGGUGGCCUCGCCAUUUGCAGUAUCAAAGCCCAGUCGAUGCCCUCAAAAAAUUCGUGGCGUUUGAUUUCUUCAGCUUUGAUCCUACUCUUGGGGUCUUUCACCAGUAACUUUCCUAUCAGGUCCCUCAACGGCGUCGCUUCCCCCACGAGAUCCGGCGAUUUCGUUAAAAUCUUGAAAAAUGUAUCCUUCCUAUUUGCACCCUUAAACGGUGUCACUCCAUACAACAUCUCGUAUAGUACGACUCCUAAGGACCACCAGUCCACCGCAAAAUCGUGGCCGUACCCUUGGAUUAUUUCCGGCGCCACGUAUUCUUCGGUUCCUACGAACGAGUUGGACUUUUCGAUGGUGUCUAACUCCGGAGGUGGCGUGCUGAGACCGCGUUCCGAUGAGUCGUCGGGCGAGAUACCAGAAUUGCAGCAGCGGUGAAAGAGAGAUAAUCGUUUUUUGUGAGACGAGGGGGGUUUAGGGUUAUUUGAGUUGGAAAUAGGAGAAGUUUGAGGUAAUUUUGGAAGCAGCUUUGUUGACAGAUCGAAAUCGACGAGCAUUAUGUGGCCGUUCUCUUGAAUGAGGAUGUUUUCAGGUUUCAAAUCUCUGUAGGCUAUGCCUAGAUUAUGAAGAUGCUCCAAUGCGAGAACCAAUUCAGCAGCAUAAAACCUGAUAAUCUCAGCGGAGAACAUUCUCUCGCUCUGUUGCUUUCUCAAUUGAUUGAGGUCACGUCCAGAACAAAAAUCAAUAGCGUAGGCAACAAUUUUUUCGGUGGCCAAAAGACCACGUAAUCUGGGUAAAAGCGGAUGCUUAAACUGGC